rnacentral:rRNA from 1 species
UACGUAGGGUGCAAGCGUUGUCCGGAAUUAUUGGGCGUAAAGGGCUCGUAGGCGGUCCAUCACGUCGGGAGUGAAAAGCUGGGGCUUAACCCCAGUCCUGCUUCCGAUACGGGUGGACUAGAGGUAGGCAGGGGAGAACGGAAUUCCUGGUGUAGCGGUGAAAUGCGCAGAUAUCAGGAGGAACACCGGUGGCGAAGGCGGUUCUCUGGGCCUGUACUGACGCUGAGGAACGAAAGCGUGGGGAGCGAACAGG